rnacentral:rRNA from 1 species
GACGAACGCUGGCGGCGUGCCUAACACAUGCAAGUCGAACGAGUCCAGACUUCGGUCUGAGGCGAGUGGCGGACGGGUGAGUAACACGUGAGUAAUCUGUCCCCGUGCGGGGGAUAACCCGGGGAAACCCGGGCUAAUACCGCAUGGUCGAUCGCGAGGAUCUCGUGGUCGGAAAAGGUGGCCUCUUUACAAUGCUACCGCGCAGGGAGGAACUCGCGGGCUAUCAGCUAGUUGGUAGGGUCACGGCCUACCAAGGCGACGACGGCUACGGGGUCUGAGAGGACGACCCCGCACAUUGGAACUGAGACACGGUCCAGACUCCUACGGGAGGCUG